rnacentral:rRNA from 1 species
UACGUAGGGGGCAAGCGUUGUCCGGAUUUAUUGGGCGUAAAGCGCGCGCAGGCGGCUGCGUGAGCUCGGCGUGAAAGCCCCCGGCUUAACCGGGGGAGGCCGUCGAGGACCGCGUGGCUAGAGGCCGGUAGGGGAGAGUGGAAUUCCCGGUGUAGUGGUGGAAUGCGUAGAGAUCGGGAGGAACACCAGUGGCGAAGGCGACUCUCUGGACCGGUCCUGACGCUCAGGCGCGAAAGCGUGGGGAGCGAUCCGG